CUUUUAUGGAGAGUUUGAUCCUGGCUCAGGAUGAACGCUGGCGGCGUGCCUAAUACAUGCAAGUCGAGCGAACAGAU
rnacentral:rRNA from 1 species